UUGUUGCUUUCCUACAACGAUAGCUUGUGAAUUCGGUCAGAGCUGGAAAGAAGCAGCCGUAGCAAGUGAUUCUCGUGUGUCUGGAUAUAGUACACAAAA
rnacentral:SRP_RNA from 1 species